CCCGGCCCGUCAGCAGAAUUUUAAAGAAAAUCAAGAAAUCACAUAAGGUUUUGACCUUUUAAUAGAAAAGACUGGCGUAGACAGGCAACAGUGGCAGAUGCGGCAGAAACACUCUGCAGUUACCUUACACAAUUGCUUUACCACAUUCCACCUAAGCAGUUGAGGCACAAACUUUAUCACCACCAUUUUACAGGUUAUGAAGAGUGAGUUUUGUAAAGUUGCAUGAGUUUUGCCAAACCACUUAAAUGAGUUGACAAUGAGCCAUCCAUCCCGCUAAGAUUACUAAUCUUGUUUACACAAAGAAGAUCACAGUUGUGACAAGAAAAAACAAGCUUUCACAUUUCAAGUCUGCAAUAUUAACUUUACAGAAUCCUCUCAAUUACAAAUGCAUUCGAAGAUGAUCUCCUUUUCUUCAUAGUUCUGUUAACUAGCAUUACAGCUAUCCAAGAAGAAAUGUCUACCUGUGGGUAAGCACAUUUCUUCAAUGUUUAUUCCAAAUGGAGUUUCUGGUUAUUUUCACAGCAAACUGUUACGAAACUUAUACACAAAGUGCAAAAACAAGAGAAUUGUAAGAUUGAGAUGAGUGCAUGAGGUAUUAUUCCACCAAAUAUAUUCAAUCUGUAAAAACUCAAAUCAUCCUUCCAAAAUGAUUAACAGAUGCUAAAGGAAAAAGGGAAAGCGGGCAAAUAAACCAGAGACUCAUUGCUUCACUUCUGGGGCAAUCGAUUACUACUUCAAAUUAUGAGUGAAGACCAAAAUCCUGCACAAAGGGCCGCGACACAACCCCGUCACUAUUGCUACUAUUUCCAUCCAGUUGGUCUCUCGAUCUUGGAAGUGGCAGGCCAGAAUCUGAGCCCGGCUCUCCCUCCGUGAACUUUACACAGAGGCUGACACCCAAAUCCCCAGUUCUCGGACAAGCGAGUAAGUAGUUGGCGGAGCAAAGAACAACUCCAGGUGCCUCCUGCCAGAACAGAUGCCAGCGUGGAGGAGGUGCUUUGUUAAAUGGCACUUCAAUCAGCCCUGGGGAGAACGGGUUACAGAGCCUCACAUCCAGCCUCGACGAUUCAACAGCCCGGGAGGGCAAAGCCAAAAUCAGCAACAGCA
rnacentral:lncRNA from 1 species